GUGCCUAUAGCUUAAAGGAUAGAGCAUUAGACUCCGACUCUAAAGAUACCGGUUCGAUUCCGGUUAGGUGCG
rnacentral:tRNA from 1 species